UUAUGACGUAUUAAAAAAACUACUUACUAGAUCUCGUUCAAACCAAUUUUCGGUGGAAGUUUGCAUGGUAAUGUACAUAAAUUUUUUUUUUAGUUUUAUCAUUUUCUUAUUUAUUUUAGAAGUUACAGGGGGGGGGGGACACACAUUUUACCACUUUGGAAGUACCUAUCCAUAGAUAUACCCCACACGAAUGGGUUUGAUGAAAAAUUUUUUUUUGAGUUUCAGUUCUAAGUAUGGGGAACCCCCAAAAUUUAUUGUUUUUUUUCUAUUUUUGUGUGAAAAUCUUAAUGCGGUUCACAGAAUACAUCUACUUACCAAGUUUCAACAGUAUAGUUCUUAUAGUUUCGGAAAAAAGUGGCUGUGA